rnacentral:rRNA from 1 species
AACGAACGCUGGCGGCAUGCCUAACACAUGCAAGUCGAACGAGACCUUCGGGUCUAGUGGCGCACGGGUGCUUAACGCGGGGGAACCUGCCCUUAGGUUCGGAAUAACUCCCCGAAAGGGGUGCUAAUACCGGAUAAUGUCUUCGGACCAAAGAUUUAUCGCCUUUGGAUGGGCCCGCGUUGGAUUAGCUAGUUGGUAGGGUAAAAGCCUACCAAGGCGACGAUGCAGAGCUGGUCGGAGAGGAGGAUCAGCCACACUGGGACUGAGACACGGCCCAGACUCCUACGGGAGGCAGCAGUGGGGAAUAUUGGACAAGGGGCGCAAGCCUGAUACAGCCACGCCGCGUGAGUGAUGAAGGCCUUAGGGUUGUAAAGCUCUUUUACCCGGGAUGAUAAUGACAGUACCGGGUGAAUAAGCUCCGGCUAACUACGUG